AAGUAGAGUGUGGUGUGUGGUCAGACUGGACGGCCACCCGGGGCCAAGAGUCUGGGCUGUCCUUUAACUGUGGCUUCUUAGAUCUCUUUGACUUCCUGCUUGGAUUCCCCACAGUGCGGAUUGUAUCUUGCUGAGGAGGCAGGGACAAGGUUCCCACAGGAUGUCCACAUGACCCAUUUCCCUGCUGAAGAAACCGAGACCCGGAGAAGAAGCAUGAGCGAUUGCUCACAGCUUCCCGGCCCUUGCUUCCAUGGCACGUCUCCCUCUCUGCCUCCUGCACUCCCGUCUCUCUCUUCUAAGGGCCUUCAUGAUUACACUGGACCCACCAGAUAAUUGAGGAUACAGUCUGCAUCUCAGGAUCCUUACCUCGAUCCCAGCUGCAAAAUCACAGGUGCUAGGAAUUAGGAUGUGGACAUCUUUAGAAUAUGGACAUCUUUCAGGGGCCAUUGUUUGCUUACCACAGAAACCACUGAAGAACUCUGAGCAGAAGGCUGGUGUGUGACUGUAUUAGGGUGUUAGGCAGUGUAGAGUCAUGGUUAAAAUAGCAGGCUUAGGGGUCUAAACCUGGGUUCAAUGCUGAGCCCACCAUGAAAGAGCUCUGUAACCUUGGAUCAUUUCCUACUUCAUUUCUCUCUGCCUUGGUUUUCUCAUCUGUAAAAUGAAACUACCUACCCCAAAUGGCGGUUGGAAGGAUUAUACGGGACAAUAGAAGUGAAACAGGACAGCAGAAAGCACUCAAUGAAUUGGGAACAUCUUGGUACUCCAUAAGCGCUAAGCAUAGAGACCUGAUCAAGAAAACGCCAUUCACAGUCCAGGUCAUGAAGAGCAAAACCUAGCCCCUCGGGGGCCCAUUUCCCCCAGGACCAUCAGCGAGAUAGGGAAGGGGGUACCUGAGCACCAGAGGAUUCUCUGGUCCAGAGGAAACAGGCAGCUCCUCCAAAUGGCACAUUUCUCUGUGGGGCAUUUUUCUUCCUCCUCUCUUUUGGCAUAAAGAAAUGAGGGAUGGAGGCUGCCCUGAUCUGUUCCGGUAAUAAGGUGGGAUUCUGUCUGGAUGUUGGAUAAUACUAAGUAGUAGACAAUGGUUUGUCUUAAGCUUUCUUCUGUGAGAUGUCUGAAAUAACCAUUUAGUUUGAUGUGGGAGCCAGUGAAAGACUUGGUGACAUUUUUAUCCAUGUACCCUGUAUGUUGAUGAGUGUGCUUAUCAGAGUUGGUGGGCACCUGGUUCUGGGUCCCUUGAUUCCUCAAUACAUUUUGGCUAUCUUCUCUGUUCCCAUU